rnacentral:rRNA from 1 species
UACGAAGGGGGCUAGCGUUGUUCGGAAUCACUGGGCGUAAAGCGCGCGGAGGCGGGCCUUUAAGUCAGGGGUGAAAUCCCGGGGCUCAACCUCGGAACUGCCUUUGAUACUGGAGGUCUGGAGACCGGAAGAGGUGAGUGGAAUUCCUAGUGUAGAGGUGAAAUUCGUAGAUAUUAGGAAGAACACCAGUGGCGAAGGCGGCUCACUGGUCCGGUUCCGACGCUGAGGUGCGCUAGCGUGGUGAGCAAACAGG